CUCCAGGUUUUUAUUAUCUUUCCGAUGCAUUGAAAUCUUAAUGAGGUGCAAUUAACUUUAAUAAUUUAAAGUCAACAUGUCACAGGUGAAUAAUCAGUGUGAAUAGUUUCGAUAAGUUUUCGACAAUAUCCAUUGAGUAACCUACGAUAAGAUACUUGUAUCUACGUUGGCCAUUCUUUUUUUAUGAAACGAGCAACACCAACUCUUUCAAUUUGUCUUUUAUUUUGGAAAGGGGAAUACUUGUUUAAGGUGUAGUAAAGUCAAAUGUUCUUAAUACUGUUGCAUGAUGAAAGAGUUUUAUGUUGUUUGUUCUGUUGUACAGCAUUUCUUUUCAUCUUGGACAGUCUAUAUUUCUGUCAGAAAAACAUUGUCCAUGUAUGUUUGAUCAUGUUAUGAUAGGGCCUUUAAUGUCUUAUUUUAGGAAUUUUUCAAAGAAUAUGUGAUAAUUAUUUUUUCAAGAUAUACAGAUAUUUUUUUUCAAUUUUCAAUUUGAAUUCUGCUUUUUCAAAUAGAAAAGAGGGGGUGUAACUAUAUUAAGUUUUAGAUACAAGCUGUCGAAAGAAGCUAAAUGAUAUGCCAAAUGAUAUAUAGGGAAAAUGGUACGUACACCGC
rnacentral:lncRNA from 1 species